GAAUUCGCCCUUAGAGUUUGAUCCUGUCUCAGGACGAACGCUGGCGGCGUGCCUAACACAUGCAAGUCGAACGGACCGAAUUAGAGCUUGCUCUGAGGAGGUUAGUGGCGGACGGGUGAGUAACGCGUGAGUAACCUGCCUGUAAGAGAGGGAUAACGUCUGGAAACGGACGCUAAUACCACAUAAAAUUUAAGCAUCGCAUGGUGAAUAAAUCAAAGGAGAAAUCCGCUUACAGAUGGACUCGCGUCCGAUUAGCUAGUUGGUGGGGUAAAGGCCUACCAAGGCGACGAUCGGUAACCGGACUGAGAGGUUGAACGGCCACAUUGGGACUGAGACACGGCCCAGACUCCUACGGGAGGCAGCAGUGGGGGAUAUUGCACAAUGGGGGAAACCCUGAUGCAGCAACGCCGCGUGAGGGAAGAAGGUUUUCGGAUUGUAAACCUCUGUCCUUAGUGAAGAUAAUGACGGUAGCUAAGGAGGAAGCUCCGGCUAACUACGUGCCAGCAGCCGCGGUAAUACGUAGGGAGCGAGCGUUGUCCGGAUUUACUGGGUGUAAAGGGUGCGUAGGCGGCAAUGCAAGUCAGAUGUGAAAUACAUGGGCUUAACCGAUGAACUGCAUUUGAAACUGUGUUGCUUGAGUGAAGUAGAGGCAGGCGGAAUUCCCUGUGUAGCGGUGAAAUGCGUAGAGAUAGGGAGGAACACCAGUGGCGAAGGCGGCCUGCUGGGCUUUAACUGACGCUGAAGCACGAAAGCAUGGGUAGCAAACAGGAUUAGAUACCCUGGUAGUCCAUGCCGUAAACGAUGAUU
rnacentral:rRNA from 1 species